ensembl:lncRNA
AGAAUGUGUAUACAUCCUUGUAAGUCGCUUUGGAUAAAAGCGUCUGCUAAAUGACUAAAUGUAAAUGUAUGUCUUAUUUGUAUGUUGUAUGUCGUAUGUCGUAUGUCGUAUGUCUUAUGUCGUAUGUCGUAUGUCGUAUGUCUUAUGCCUUAUGUCGUUUGUCGUAUGUUGUGUGUCUCACGGACUGAGGAAUAACUUCAUGAUCCUGCUCAUUGUGAAAUGGUCACAUUUAAUGAACAACCUUUCAUUUUAUAUACAUCUAUAAAAGGGACCCCGGUACAGGUUACAAGAAUCUAAAGCUAAUACAUACAUUAUUAAAUAAUAAACUUUUUUCAUGUUAAAGAUACAUAUCAUAGUUUACAAAAUAUGAUCAGGGAGAAUUAAGCAGUUAUGAAUGUUUGAAAAAAAAAAAAAACUAUAUGUAUAUUUUGUUCAGCAAUAAACAAAACAUAAAGCACAACCAUAUUUCGUUGAAUAACAUAAUAUUAAAUUGGGAUAUUGACUAUUAAAAUGUAAACUGCAAACACAUGUUUGAAGGCAAUGGAGCAUUGGUGCACAGAGCAUACAGAGCAAAGGGUCAGCAAAUACAGCUCUCUCACACUGUGUGUGUGUGUGUGUGUGUGUGUGUGUGUACAUGAGGGUGGUGUGUGUGUGUGUGUACAUGUGUGUGUGUGUGUGUGUGUGUGUGUGUGUGUGUGUGUGUGUGUGUACAUGAGGGUGUGUGUGUGUGUGUGUGUACAUGUGUGUGUGUGUGUGUGUGUGUGUGUACAUGAGGGUGUGUGUGUGUGUGUGUGUGUGUGUGUGUACAUGAGUGUGUGUGCGUGUGUGUGUGUACAUGAGAGUGUGUGUGUGUGUGUGUGUACAUGAGAGUGUGUGUGUGUGUGUACAUGAGUGUGUGUGUGUGUGUGUGUGUGUGUGUGUGUGUGUGUGUGUGUGGUGUGUGUGUGUGUACAUGAGUGUGUGUGUGUGUGUGUGUGUGGAUGUGUGUGUGAGUUAGUUUUCUGUCUUUGAGUGGAUCCAUCACUCCACGGCGUUAGUCUUCUGUCUUUGCUUUAUUAUUUUUAUUAUUCUGCUCACUGUAUGUCAUCGGUCCACAGACAGAAAGAGCUGUGUGUGUGUGUGUGUGUGUGAGUGUGUGUGUGUGUGUGUAUGUGUGCACAGACACAGGCUUCGGGAAGCUAGGGAUUGCAGGAAAAACUUUCUUCUCUUUUUUUUCACGUCUUUUCCCAGAACAAGUCUUUGGCAUGAUGAGUUAGCUGUAUGUUGCUGACAACAAGAUGGCGACCGAAACGACGUUGGCAAACUGCAGGAUGAAUUUUCAAGGGAUUCCAAAAAAAAAAUCAUCAAUUAAAAAUGAAAUGAAUGAAAAGUUGUUGUUGUGCUGCUGGGCAGAAAAUGUCUUUAAGUCACGUCCCCAAAUCUUCAGAUUCCCUGUGUGUGUGUGUGUGUGUGUGUGUGUGUGUGUGUGUGUGUGUGUGUGUAUUUUUUUGUUAGUUCUAAAGUUCUUCUAGAUCUGUGUCUGAGCAGAUUUAAUUGUUAGUUCUCAUAGUUCUUCUUGUUGUUCUUCUUCUUGUUGUUCUUGUUGUUGUUGUUGUUCUUCUUGUUGUUGUUGUUGUUCUUUGAUGUGUUGUUGUUGUUGUUGUUGUUUUGUUUUCACUUUAUUUCAUCAUUUUUUAAUCUUUUUUAUUUUUCAUUUGUGAGAAACUUGAAUUAAAUGAUCAAAUUAACACGAUAUCCAUUAACAUGUGCAAAAUAGAAAUAGAAAUAGAAGGUUUUUCUCCUUUAAUUUCUUCCACGGGAAUGA